UACGGGGGGGGCAAGCGUUGUUCGGAAUUACUGGGCGUAAAGGGCUCGUAGGUGGCCAACUAAGUCAGACGUGAAAUCCCUCGGCUUAACCGGGGAACUGCAUCUGAUACUGGAUGGCUUGAGUUCGGGAGAGGGAUGCGGAAUUCCUGGUGUAGCGGUGGAAUGCGCAGAUAUCAGGAGGAACACCGAUGGCGAAGGCAGGUCUCUGGGCCAUUACUGACACUGAGAAGCGAAAGCAUGGGGAGCGAACAGG
rnacentral:rRNA from 1 species